CAGCACUGUGUCAGCUAACAUCAUAAAGGUUUCACCGUGGGAAAGCUGAGUUUCUGGAGUCUGAUCGUGGCACCUGGCACAGGCUGUGGGAUUUUACACUGACCCACAGCUCCUUCCCGUGUUCCCUGUGCUACCCACGCAUGGCAGAGUCGGUACCAGGAGGUGGGGAGCAGUGAGUGAGGAAGGACGGCAGGGCAAAGGAAUUGCUAAGGGCAGAUUUUGUGGAUACCAUCACCAGCUCGUCCCUGUGUUCCCAGUGUAUGGCUGAAAACAGCACCAGUCAUGUAGCAGAAUGAUCUGAGGAGGCCAGGACUGGACCCAGCACUACAGAUGUCACAUCACCUGCACUGAAGGGUGGG
ensembl:lncRNA